AAAAAGGAAGAGACCGACCAAGUCGCCUGGAUCAAACUGACCAGGACAACCCUUGGAAAUCAGAGUAGCUAUGUCUGUAGGCCUUCUAACUGGACAAUGAAUGAACGACGAAGUCGGGCAGAAACACCAAGAAACAAACGUCGUUAUUAAAAGAUACACCACUUGCUAAUUUAUUUAUCCAUAAUGUCUAUCAGUAUAACGCAUUUUCAAAUUCGACCGUUAAAAAUUUCCGUAUAACUAAAUGUUCACAAUUGUUAAAUUUUCUGACAAAACACACUAGUAAAAGCCAGCUAUUAAUUAAUGAGGCAACGUAGAAAAUUUCAAUGGAAUAAAGUCUAGCAGACAUCUAGAAUUAUUUUUAUGCAAGUCAUAACGUCUCUUUAGUCGUUUUAUUUUUAAUUGUUAUGGACAGGUGAAUGGUCAGGUCCCUACGUACUGAAUAAUUUUUAUACAUGAUUUAUAUAUGGCUGCUAUUGGUUUUCGUUUUUCGUCUAUUGAUUACAAUUUUUGUUAACACUCUGCACUAUUUCAUUUUUUGUGCUCUACAAAAGUUUUCGUUUCUUUUGUACGAACAAAAAAUAUUUUCUGUGUCAAUAGGGUAGUCAGCCCACAUUUUUAUUGCUCCGUAAAUUUAAAUUUUUUAUACGACUGUAUAAGACGCACGAUCUGACUACGCUGCAUGUUAAAGUAGAUCAUCGGGAUCAUUGAAAACAACAAAAA